CAGUCGACGGGAAUCUUCGGAUUCUAGUGGCGGACGGGUGAGUAACGCGUAAGAAUCUAACUUCAGGACGGGGACAACAGUUGGAAACGACUGCUAAUACCCGAUAUGCCGCGAGGUGAAACCUAAUUGGCCUGAAGAAGAGCUUGCGUCUGAUUAGCUAGUUGGUGGGGUAAGAGCCUACCAAGGCGACGAUCAGUAGCUGGUCUGAGAGGAUGAGCAGCCACACUGGGACUGAGACACGGCCCAGACUCCUACGGGAGGCAGCAGUGGGGAAUUUUCCGCAAUGGGCGAAAGCCUGACGGAGCAACGCCGCGUGAGGGAGGAAGGUCUUUGGAUUGUAAACCUCUUUUCUCAAGGAAGAAGUUCUGACGGUACUUGAGGAAUCAGCCUCGGCUAACUCCGUGCCAGCAGCCGCGGUAAUACGGGGGAGGCAAGCGUUAUCCGGAAUUAUUGGGCGUAAAGCGUCCGCAGGUGGUCAGCCAAGUCUGCUGUCAAAUCAGGUUGCUUAACGACCUAAAGGCGGUGGAAACUGGCAGACUAGAGAGCAGUAGGGGUAGCAGGAAUUCCCAGUGUAGCGGUGAAAUGCGUAGAGAUUGGGAAGAACAUCGGUGGCGAAAGCGUGCUACUGGGCUGUAUCUGACACUCAGGGACGAAAGCUAGGGGAGCGAAAGGGAUUAGAUACCCCUGUAGUCCUAGCCGUAAACGAUGGAUACUAGGCGUGGCUUGUAUCGACCCGAGCCGUGCCGAAGCUAACGCGUUAAGUAUCCCGCCUGGGGAGUACGCACGCAAGUGUGAAACUCAAAGGAAUUGACGG
rnacentral:rRNA from 1 species